rnacentral:rRNA from 1 species
AUUGAACGCUGGCGGCAUGCCUUACACAUGCAAGUCGAACGGCAGCACGGGGGCAACCCUGGUGGCGAGUGGCGAACGGGUGAGUAAUACAUCGGAACGUGCCCAGUCGUGGGGGAUAACGUAGCGAAAGUUACGCUAAUACCGCAUACGAUCUAUGGAUGAAAGCGGGGGAUCGCAAGACCUCGCGCGAUUGGAGCGGCCGAUGGCAGAUUAGGUUGGUGGAGGGGUAAUGGCUUACCAAGCCUCCGAUCUGUAGCUGGUCUGAGAGGACGAUCAGCCACACUGGGACUGAGACACGGCCCAGACUCCUACGGGAGGCAGCAGUGGGGAAUUUUGGACAAUGGGCGCAAGCCUGAUCCAGCAAUGCCGCGUGCAGGACGAAGGCCUUCGGGUUGUAAACUGCUUUUGUACGGAGCGAAACGGCUCUCACUAAUACUGGGGGCUAAUGACGGUACCGUAAGAAUAAGCACCGGCUAACUACGUGCCAGCCGCCGCCGUAA